CAGCAGCCGCGGGAAUACGUAGGUGGCAAGCGUUGCCCAGAAUUAUUGGGCGUAAAGGGCUCGCAGGCGGUUUCUUAAGUCUGAUGUGAAAGCCCCCGGCUCAACCGGGGAGGGUCAUUGGAAACUGGGAAACUUGAGUGCAGAAGAGGAGAGUGGAAUUCCACGUGUAGCGGUGAAAUGCGUAGAGAUGUGGAGGAACACCAGUGGCGAAGGCGACUCUCUGGUCUGUAACUGACGCUGAGGAGCGAAAGCGUGGGGAGCGAACAGGAUUAGAGACCCCAGUAGUCCCUGUCUCUUAUAC
rnacentral:rRNA from 1 species